AUUGAACGCUGGCGGCAUGCCUUACACAUGCAAGUCGAACGGCAGCACGGGAGCAAUCCUGGUGGCGAGUGGCGAACGGGUGAGUAAUAUAUCGGAACGUGCCCAGUCGUGGGGGAUAACGUAGCGAAAGCUACGCUAAUACCGCAUACGAUCUAUGGAUGAAAGCGGGGGAUCGCAAGACCUCGCGCGAUUGGAGCGGCCGAUAUCAGAUUAGGUAGUUGGUGAGGUAAAGGCUCACCAAGCCGACGAUCUGUAGCUGGUCUGAGAGGACGACCAGCCACACUGGGACUGAGACACGGCCCAGACUCCUACGGGAGGCAGCAGUGGGGAAUUUUGGACAAUGGGCGCAAGCCUGAUCCAGCAAUGCCGCGUGCAGGAUGAAGGCCUUCGGGUUGUAAACUGCUUUUGUACGGAGCGAAACGGUUUCCACUAAUACUGGGGGCUAAUGACGGUACCGUAAGAAUAAGCACCGGCUAACUACGUGCCAGCCGCCGCGGUAAAAC
rnacentral:rRNA from 1 species